rnacentral:miRNA from 1 species
ACACGAUCGGUUGCCGGGUGAA